rfam:Oryctolagus cuniculus cont2.71589, whole genome shotgun sequence.
ACCAAGUGGACGCCAGGGGCCCCGAAGCAGGGUCUGGAAAAGGGGGGUGGGCUUGGUGGGGAGUAGCCCCCAAACAAAGACAUGGGGG